rnacentral:rRNA from 1 species
GCCUACGGGAGGCAGCAGUGAGGAAUAUUGGUCAAUGGUCGGGAGACUGAACCAGCCAAGCCGCGUGAGGGAUGAAGGUACAGAGUAUCGUAAACCUCUUUUGUCAGGGAACAAAGGCGGGGACGUGUCCCCGGAUGAGUGUACCUGAAGAAAAAGCAUCGGCUAACUCCGUGCCAGCAGCCGCGGUAAUACGGAGGAUGCGAGCGUUAUCCGGAUUUUUUGGGUUUAAAGGGUCGGCAGCGGGAAUGUCAGUC